rnacentral:misc_RNA from 1 species
ACGAUCUCAAUAUUAUCUUCCUAUACCUUUUCUUAUAAUUCCAGCUACGUGGGGGUUUAUAAACGUGGGCGAGUUUGAAAUUUCCAACAAUGAAAUUAACGAUCACAUUUCUUGUCUUGAAGCAAAAAAGGGUCGAAAUAAAAAAGAUAAAAAAAUCAGAAGAUAAUGUCAUUUCAGAAUUAUCGCUUGAUAUUUAUUUAUGUUGGAUAAAAACAUCCGUCUCUCAAUGCACAGCAAAUGUCAGAACGAUAUCCGCACAGAGCCUG